UCCUCGCGGUCCAAGUCGCAACCAUUUUUAUUGGGUCUAAAACAUCCGUAGCUUGCUUAAUAAGUUCCCUGUGAAAUCCUAUUUCUCAAGGAUAGGUCGUGCAGGGAGUACUGUUGAGCUAGAGACCGGAAGACGUAAGAAGUACGUUCGAAGUAGUGGUAAAAUACGUUAAUCUCGAGCGGACUCACAAGAGCGAAGGCAUCUUACGAGGACGGUUCUGACAGUAAGGGAUGAAGGCUAGGGGCGAAAAACGG
rnacentral:rRNA from 1 species